UAUCUGUGAUGAUCCUAUCCCGAACCUGAAUUUCUGUCAAAAAAAAAAAAUUAAUACGGAUCUGGCUUCUGAGAU